GCAUAUCAAUAAGCGGAGGAAAAGAAACCAACAGGGAUUGCCCUAGUAACGGCGAGUGAAGCGGCAACAGCUCAAAUUUGAAAUCUGGCCUUCUGGUCCGAGUUGUAAUUUGUAGAGGAUGAUUUUGGUUAGGUACCUUCCGAGUUCCUUGGAACAGGACGCCUUAGAGGGUGAGAGCCCCGUACGGUUGGAUGCCGAGCCUUUGUAAAUCUCCUUCGACGAGUCGAGUAGUUUGGGAAUGCUGCUCUAAAUGGGAGGUAAAUUUCUUCUAAAGCUAAAUACCGGCCAGAGACCGAUAGCGCACAAGUAGAGUGAUCGAAAGAUGAAAAGCACUUUGAAAAGAGGGUUAAAUAGUACGUGAAAUUGUUGAAAGGGAAGGAUUUAUGACCAGACCUUUGCCUUGCGGAUCAUCCGGUGUUCUCACCGGUGCACUUCGCUUGGUUGAGGCCAGCAUCAGUUUUGGCGGCGGGAUAAAGACUUCAGGAACGUGACUCCCCCGGGAGUGUUAUAGCCUGCUGUGUAAUACCGCCGCUGGGACUGAGGACCGCGCUUCGGCUAGGAUGCUGGCAUAAUGGUCAUCAAUCACCCGUCUUGAAACACGGACCAAGGAGUCGAACAUUUAUGCGAGUUUUUGGGUGUUAAACCCUCAAGCGUAAUGAAAGUGAACGGAGGUGAGAGCCCUUACGGGUGCAUCAUCGACCGAUCCUGAUGUCUUCGGAUGGAUUUGAGUAAGAGCAUAACUGUUCGGACCCGAAAGAUGGUGAACUAUGCGUGGAUAGGGUGAAGCCAGAGGAAACUCUGGUGGAGGCUCGCAGCGGUUCUGACGUGCAAAUCGAUCGUCAAAUCUGCGCAUGGGGCGAAAGACUAAUCGWACCAUCUAGUAGCUGGUUACCGCCGAA
rnacentral:rRNA from 1 species